CUGGAGGCUACGCACAUUUUGGACUCGUGCUUCUCCAGAUCCUACUAGUUCCAGUUUGCGGCACUGGUCUAACCAACAGGGGCAAGUUCAAUGUUUUGAUCACUUCAACAUGUGGACAGAAGUCAGAAGGAGCCAUGGACUGAACCACAGACCCUGCUAUCAGUGGAGGGUCUGCUGAGCCACAGCAGCAGCAACAGACCCAAUGAAUACUCUUCACCAGUGGAGAACUCCUGCUUCAAUAUUUAUAGAGGCCACUUCAUCCCAUUCCAGGCCCUAACCUCUUGAGGUCUUGUGUUACCUCCACCCUCAUGCACAAUCACCCAACCAAGUGGAAGC